rnacentral:rRNA from 1 species
AUUGAACGCUGGCGGCAGGCCUAACACAUGCAAGUCGAGCGGAUGAAGGGAGCUUGCUCCUGGAUUCAGCGGCGGACGGGUGAGUAAUGCCUAGGAAUCUGCCUGGUAGUGGGGGAUAACGUCCGGAAACGGGCGCUAAUACCGCAUACGUCCUGCGGGAGAAAGUGGGGGAUCUUCGGACCUCACGCUAUCAGAUGAGCCUAGGUCGGAUUAGCUAGUUGGUGGGGUAAAGGCCUACCAAGGCGACGAUCCGUAACUGGUCUGAGAGGAUGAUCAGUCACACUAGAACUGAGACACGGUCCAGGCUCCUACGGGAGGCAGCAGUGGGGAAUAUUGGACAAUGGGCGAAAGCCUGAUCCAGCCAUGCCGCGUGUGUGAAGAAGGUCUUCGGAUUGUAAAGCACGUUAAGGUGGGAGGAAGGGCAGUAAGUUAAUACCUUGCUGUUUUGACGUUACCAACAGAAUAAGCACCGGCUAACUUCGUG